GCACCUCGAGCUCGAUAGGUUGAGCGCCGGUCUGUUAAGCCGGGGGUUCCGGGUUCGAAUCCCGGGGGGUGCG
rnacentral:tRNA from 1 species